rnacentral:rRNA from 1 species
AUUGAACGCUGGCGGCAUGCUUUACUCAUGCAAGUCGAACGGUAACAGGCCUUCGGGUGCUUACGAGUGGCGAACGGGUGCGUAAUUCAUCGGAAAGUGCCCAGAGUUGGGGGAUAACGCAGCGAAAGCUGUGCUAAUACCGCAUGUUAUCUGAGGGUGAAAGCGGUAGACCCAGCAGCAAUGUUUGGCCUCGCGCCUUUGGAGCGGCCGAUGUCAGAUUAGCUAGUUGGUGGGGUAAAGUCCUACCAAGCCGACGAUCUGUAGCUGGUCAGAGCGGACGACCACCCACACUGGGACUGAGACACGGCCCAGACUCCUACGGGAGGCAGCAGAGGGGAAUUUUGGACAAUGGGCGCAAGCCUGAUCCAGCAAUGCCGCGUGCGGGAAGACGGCCUUCGGGUUGUAAACCCCUUUUGUACGGAACGAAAAGGCUCUGGCUAAUACCUGGGGCUGAUGACGGUACCGUAAGAAUAAGCACCGGCUAACUACGUG